rnacentral:rRNA from 1 species
UACGUAGGGGGCAAGCGUUGUCCGGAAUCAUUGGGCGUAAAGCGCGUGUAGGCGGUUCGGUAAGUCCGCUGUGAAAGUCCAGGGCUCAACCCUGGGAUGCCGGUGAAUACUGUCGGGCUAGAGUACGGAAGAGGCGAGUGGAAUUCCCGGUGUAGCGGUGAAAUGCGCAGAUAUCGGGAGGAACACCAAUUGCGAAGGCAGCUCGCUGGGACGUCACUGACGCUGAGACGCGAAAGCGUGGGGAGCAAACAGG